rnacentral:miRNA from 1 species
UGUUUGCAUAGUGGGUGUAUAUAAUGCAGUGUGUUUGUGUAGUGUGUUUAUAUAAUGCACACUACACAAACACACUGCAUUAUAUACACACACUAUACAAAC